UACGAAGGGGGCUAGCGUUGCUCGGAAUCACUGGGCGUAAAGGGUGCGUAGGCGGGUCUUUAAGUCAGGGGUGAAAUCCUGGAGCUCAACUCCAGAACUGCCUUUGAUACUGAAGGUCUUGAGUUCGGGAGAGGUGAGUGGAACUGCGAGUGUAGAGGUGAAAUUCGUAGAUAUUCGCAAGAACACCGGUGGCGAAGGCGGCUCACUGGCCCGAUACUGACGCUGAGGCGCGAAAGCGUGGGGAGCAAACAGG
rnacentral:rRNA from 1 species